rnacentral:tRNA from 1 species
CAGGGAGACAACAAAAUGUUUAAUAUUAUUAUUUUGUCACCUUAGGUCGAUCGGUAUCUCACGUUCUUAAUUUAUUAAGAAUUUUAUUUCCUAAGUUUUUCUAGGUCACACCCAUUAUUUUCCUGGGCCAUUAGCUCAGGUGGUUAGAGCGCACCCCUGAUAAGGGUGAGGUCCCUGGUUCAAGUCCAGGAUGGCCCAUAUCUCUAUGUUGGGGGUAUAGCUCAGUUGGUAGAGCGCCUGCUUUGCAAGCAGGAUGUCAGCGGUUCGAGUCCGCUUACCUCCACUGAUUACCACCUCUUCCAUAAUCUGUAGAAAGGAAAAUUUUUUGAGUUGUGAUCAUUAUUCUGAACGAAUCUAGCUUCCUAAUGAAAUUAUUAAGAUGCUGGACUCAUUGAAUUAAUUUCAUUGUUUUCAGAGAACCUUGACAACUGCAUANAUUAUUUUAAAGACAAUAAGCAUCUUUAAUGAUGCAUAUUUAUUAUUUUUGCAAAUGCAUUAAUAACAAUUCUAUUAAGCUGAUGCUUCAAUUAUGAAGUUAUU